CAGCCGCCGCGGGAACACGUAGGGUGCGAGCGUUGUCCGGAAUUACUGGGCGUAAAGAGCUCGUAGGUGGUUUGUCGCGUCGUUUGUGUAAUACCGCAGCUUAACUGCGGGGUUGCAGGCGAUACGGGCAUAACUUGAGUGCUGUAGGGGAGACUGGAAUUCCUGGUGUAGCGGUGGAAUGCGCAGAUAUCAGGAGGAACACCGAUGGCGAAGGCAGGUCUCUGGGCAGUAACUGACGCUGAGGAGCGAAAGCAUGGGUAGCGAACAGGAUUAGAUACCCCGGUAGUCCCUGUCUCUUAAC
rnacentral:rRNA from 1 species